rnacentral:rRNA from 1 species
AUUGAACGCUGGCGGCAUGCCUUACACAUGCAAGUCGAACGGCAGCACGGGGCAACCUGGUGGCGAGUGGCGAACGGGUGAGUAAUGCAUCGGAACGUACCUUUCAGUGGGGGAUAACGUAGCGAAAGUUACGCUAAUACCGCAUAUUCUGUGAGCAGGAAAGCAGGGGAUCGCAAGACCUUGCGCUGAUUGAGCGGCCGAUGUCAGAUUAGCUAGUUGGUGAGGUAAAGGCUCACCAAGGCGACGAUCUGUAGCGGGUCUGAGAGGAUGAUCCGCCACACUGGAACUGAGACACGGUCCAGACUCCUACGGGAGGCAGCAGUGGGGAAUUUUGGACAAUGGGGGCAGCCCUGAUCCAGCCAUGCCGCGUGAGUGAAGAAGGCCUUCGGGUUGUAAAGCUCUUUCGGCCGGGAAGAAAUCCUUGGUGUUAAUACCGCCUGGGGAUGAGAGUACCAAAAGAAUCAGCACCGGCUAACUACGUGCCAGCCGCCGCGGUAACAC